AUUGAACGCUGGCGGCAGGCCUAACACAUGCAAGUCGAGCGGAUGAAGGGAGCUUGCUCCUGGAUUCAGCGGCGGACGGGUGAGUAAUGCCUAGGAAUCUGCCUGGUAGUGGGGGAUAACGUCCGGAAACGGGCGCUAAUACCGCAUACGUCCUGAGGGAGAAAGUGGGGGAUCUUCGGACCUCACGCUAUCAGAUGAGCCUAGGUCGGAUUAGCUAGUUGGUGGGGUAAAGGCCUACCAAGGCGACGAUCCGUAACUGGUCUGAGAGGAUGAUCAGUCACACUGGAACUGAGACACGGUCCAGACUCCUACGGGAGGCAGCAGUGGGGAAUAUUGGACAAUGGGCGAAAGCCUGAUCCAGCCAUGCCGCGUGUGUGAAGAAGGUCUUCGGAUUGUAAAGCACUUUAAGUUGGGAGGGAGGGCGGUAAGUUAAUACCUUGCUGUUUUGACGUUACCAACAGAAUAAGCACCGGCUAACUUCGUG
rnacentral:rRNA from 1 species